CAGCUCCAUGUGUGUUAUUGCCCUGAAGACCUUCCAAUGGAACAAGAGGUGGAGGUGGAAGACAGUGAUAUGGAUGACCCUGACCCUGUUAUUGAAAUUGGCAUCUUUGGGAGCUCGCUGUCAUCUCUUCACAAAACAUCCCCACGGAAAGCCAAACUUUCCCUUAGCAAGCGUGGCAACGUCCCAGAGUGCAGCCUGGAUCCCGUCAAGGAUAUCACAUGAUACUUCCUUGUCAUGUUUCCUUAGGCUCAUCUUGACUGUCCAUUUCUCAGACCUUCCUUGAUUUUGGUGACCUUGACAAUGUUGAGGAACAGUGGUCAGAAGUCACCAUGUGCAGCCUACAUUUAAUGAGUGGAGAGUUAUGCCCCGCCUCCUGGAGGAUGAACUAUCUACAUAAAUUAUUUGAAAUUCUUUUGCAUGGAAUAUUUUCUUAAUGUUAUUGUGAAAAUAAUUUUGACCUUGCAGAACCAUGAAAGGCUGUUCGGGAAAACCCCCAGAAGUCUGUAGACCAUACUUAGAGAAACACCAUUCCAUGCAAUGGAGGCAGGGGUGGAUGUGUCUGGAACCUGGGCACUAUACUUGCGUGUACCUUGAUGCUUCCAGGAUUCCCUAGAAAUCACUGUGGAAGGAUUAUUGCAGCCACUAUUGCUUGACAAGGGCUCAGACCCCUCAGGGUUACAAGUUUAAGUCCCUCAACCAGGCAAGCAACCCAGACCCAGCAAAGUGUGUUUGAA
rnacentral:lncRNA from 1 species